UCCAUCCAGAGAUGGCAGGUCCCAGCGUGCUGUCCCCUCCCUGGCUCCUGCCUUUCCCUGCCUGGUUUCCAGGCUUCCUGAUAACCCAGUGAGCCGCCCAUAUCCUCCCAUUACAUCCUGUUCUACCUGCGCGGGCCAAGGCCGGUUUCUGUGGAUUCCAUCGGAAGUGUUCCUCCCUGGAGCCGCAUGAGCUGAGCCCAGCGAGCUGAGGUCACGUCUGCCCCUCGACAAUCCUCCCACUGUCCUUCGGAGGAGCAUACAGCGCCAUCCCAGCUGCCCCUUAGCUGACCUCCUAGGUGCCUGCUACACCCGAGUGGAGGGGGGAGAUGGGCUCCCCUGAAGCCAAGGAUGAAGGUGCAGAGGAAGGACCGACCACAAGGCCCGGCGGAGCCGGCAGCUGCCUUGAGGAAGCCCACCUGGCAAGGGUUAAGGGUGCGCAGGCCCUGAAGGCAGCCUACAGCUGGCAGCAGAAAAGCUAGGGCCCCGCUGCAAGGAAGCUCGGGAGCUGGGAAGCAGAUUCCUCCCUACUGGAGCCUUCUGGUGAGAUCACAGCCCAGGGGACACCUCGACUACUGUCUUGUGAGAGCCUGAGCCAAGGAUCAGGUAGGCUGUGCCCAGCCUCCCCACCCACGGAAACCGGGAGAUAAUAAAGAUGUGUUGUUUUAAGCUGCAAA